rnacentral:antisense_RNA from 1 species
GAGCCUCGGUGAGAGCUUCCCUGAGCCUGGUUCCCAAGGGGUACUUAAGAUCAGAGGUGUCCCCCGCGCCUGGGGCUUCACUGAAGAUGAUGAUUUGCUCAAAGAGGAAGACACGCCUCUCUCGACCUCGGGAAGACAGCAGCCCUCCAGCCUCAGGCUCGGUGACCCAGAAAGUGUCCUGGCUCAAGAGCUUCCCCUGAGCAGUCAGUUUGCCCUGAAACCAAAAGGAUAGCGGCCUUGGAAAAAGAACAAGAAAAAGGACAAUUCUCUGCUCCUCCCUUCCUUGCCUGACAUGCCCAACCAACCAUGGGGUCAGACCCAGGAGAAGACAACUCCCCAUAAGGACCUCCUGAGUGCUAGGGCUGGGGCAGAAGAGCAUCGGGCCUCCAGUUUCUUGCCCUAUCUCCGUACCUCAAAUCCCCGCAAUCUCCCCAGCGUCAUCAUAUCGUUGCAGCGCUUGGGCACAAAGCACAUGACCUCCACAGCUUGCUGGGACACACAC